CCGUGACCUCCCUCCUCGCAAGCAGCCCAGCCCCUGGGCAGCGGCCGCCGGGAGGGGCAGGAAGCUGGCUGGGGUCCCGGGGCAGCCCCUCCUCCAUUUCCCCACCUCCCAGGCACCUUCCCUUUGCAGCUUCCAUAGCUGCCAAGCCCGGCCAGGCGGCUGUUUUAAACGCACAUUGCAAAUGACGCCUUCAUCAUUAUUUUGAAAACCGUCAGAGACUUUCUUUCAGCUGGGUGCGGUGGCUCACACCUGUAAUCCCCGCUACUCGGGAAGCUGAAGCGG
rnacentral:lncRNA from 10 species